rnacentral:rRNA from 1 species
CCCUUAGAUGUUCUGGGCCGCACGCGUGCUACACUGAUGCAUUCAACGAGUCCAACCUUGACCGAGAGGUCCGGGUAAUCUUUGAAACUGCAUCGUGAUGGGGCUAGAUUAUUGCAAUUAUUAAUCUUCAACGAGGAAUGCCUAGUAAGCGUGAUUCAUCAAAUCGCGUUGAUUACGUCCCUGCCCUUUGUACACACCGCCCGUCGCACCUACCGAUUGAAUGGUCCGGUGAAAUCUUGGGAUUUUGUUUUGUUUGCAUUUAUUUGUAUCGAGACGAGAGAACUUGAGUAAACCUUACCAUUUAGAGGAAGGUGAAGUCGUAACA